rnacentral:snRNA from 1 species
ACGCAAUGUGAUUUCUGCC